CAAUCCAUUAGCUAGACAUGCUCACACACUUACUUGGAUUUGGAUGGUCUAUAAAUAGGAUCAAUCCAUUAGCUAGACAUGCUCACACACUUACUUGGAUUUGGAUGGUCUAUAAAUAGGAACGAGGUACGUAGAGAAGGUCCGCACAAUCAAAUAAAAACCGAAAUCAUGAAGGCCAAUCUAUUUAUAAUAAUCUGCCUUCUCUUGGCAUCCGCACUCUUCAUUCCUUCUCCAAUUUCAGCUAGACAAUUAGCUGAAAAACCUCAUUUGACUCCUGGAACCAAGAAUCCAGGCAAGCCAGCAGUGCCAUGUGAUCCUAGCAAUAGAUAUACGACGUGUUACCCCUCAAGGCCGCCAUCAUGUAACCCGUACACGCGUAAGUGCCCACCUGUCGGAAGGCGUUUGAGAUAAGAAGCAUGUCCACUACUGCUUAAGAAGACUAUUAUAUAUAUAUAUAUAUAUAUAUGGUUUUUGGGGCUUUAUUAUUAUGAUUGCUUUGAUCAUGUGUACUCAGAAUUAAACCUACUUUUCUUUUCUUUUUUUUCCUUGCAAUAAUUAAUGAACUCCAAGAACCUCUACAGUUUGAUGUAAUGUAUGCAAAAUAAAAGAGCUGACAGAGUCAGUUGGUAUAUAUAUUGAAAGGACUUUAUUAUAAUUCUAUA